AUUGAACGCUGGCGGCAGGCUUAACACAUGCAAGUCGAGCGGAGAUGAGGUGCUUGCACCUUAUCUUAGCGGCGGACGGGUGAGUAAUGCUUAGGAAUCUGCCUAUUAGUGGGGGACAACAUUCCGAAAGGAAUGCUAAUACCGCAUACGUCCUACGGGAGAAAGCAGGUGAUCUUCGGACCCUGCGCUAAUAGAUGAGCCUAAGUCGGAUUAGCUAGUUGGGGGGGUAAAGGCCUACCAAGGCGACGAUCCGUAGCGGGUCUAAGAGGAUGAUCCGCCACACUGGGACUGGGACACGGCCCAGACUCCUACGGGAGGCAGCAGUGGGGAAUAUUGGACAAUGGGGGGAACCCUGAUCCAGCCAUGCCACGUGUGUGAAGAAGGCCUUAUGGUUGUAAAGCACUUUAAGCGAGGAGGAGGCUACUGAGACUAAUACUCUUGGAUAGUGGACGUUACUCGCAGAAUAAGCACCGGCUAACUCUGUGCCAGCCGCCGCGGUAAAAC
rnacentral:rRNA from 1 species